ACGAACAUAGCACAUCUGAAUGAAGCAGAAAGACAACGAUAUUUAGAAAAAACAUUGAUUAUUGGCUGCGAUCCAUAUUUAUUACCGUCAACUUUAUUUUGUCCCUUAAAGUCUGCGAAACGUCUGCCCUAACUGUCCUUUCCCGACAUAUAUAUUUAUCUUGUACACAAUCCAUCCCCAUACACCGGAGAUAGCCUGAAGGCUUUCAAAAGUACAGAUGCAUAUCAAUAUGCAGUUGCAGGAUGGGUGAACGACACCAAGAUAUGGCAUCUGGAGACAAAACACAUGUAUCUCAUCACAGGACAUGUCAGUCAUUCCCAGGCUCUGAACACAAAAGCAACAUGUCCAUGGAUAGUGGUGCAGGAAGAAGGUACAGUGGUAAUGGCACAUUGUACAUGUAUGGCAGGGUUGGGAGAGGUGUGUUCUCACGCUGCUGCACUGAUGUACACAGUUUUGGCAGCGGUUGAUAAGAGAGGACAGACAUGCACAGAGAAGCCAUGCGCAUGGACAGAGCCAAGUACAAAAAUAGUCAAGUACGAUGAGUUGUGUAACAUCUUUGCAAAUCAAGAGCAAGUUGAAACUCAAGACCAUUUGCAGCACAUGAGACCAUCUGCGAUGAGUUCAAGUUACUCUGUGAACAGCUCCACCGAAGUGAAGACCAAGAGACAAAGCCUAAGAAAAGUGCAAUCCUGUCAGUCAUCGAAGGCCAUUCCCUCAGGUACAUGCCCAAGACUGUAUAAUGGCAUCUGCCAACUCCUCUGACAACACUGUAUUCAAGCACCAGGCUUGGAAUGGAUUUGCCCUCACUGCUGGAGGAGGGUGCCAAGAUCUUCGAGGAGCUGCAUCUCACACCAGAGCUGUGUGUGUUAGUGGAGGAGAAGACCAGGGAACAGAGAAAGUCAAGGGUGUGGUUUGAUCAGAGAGCAGGAAGAGUUACUGCAUCGAUGUUCCAUAAGGCAGCCAGGACAGAGAAAUCUCCAUCUCUGAUUAAGAGAGUAUGCUAUCCUCGCUCCUCUCAGUUUUCGACUGAAGCGACCAGAUAGGGUCUAGAAAAAGAGGACACUGCAAGAGAGGCGUACCUGAUGGCGAUGCAAGAUCUCCAUGUAGACCUCAACGUUGCAGCAUCAGGACUCAUCAUCAACCCAGAUCUGCCAUGGAUUGGUGCAUCACCAGAUGGCGUGGUGACCUGUGAUUGUCAUGAGCGUGGCAUGGUAGAGAUCAAGUGUCCUUUCAGUGCAAAGGACCGCACUCUACCUGAAUGUGCUGAAGAUUCACAGUUCUGCCUGACUGUCACUGAGGAAGGUGUGAUGAGCCUAAAGCUAGAUCACAGUUACAUGUAUCAAGUGCAGGCCCAAAUGCGUGUAGCACAGGUAACGUACUGUGAUUUUGUGGUGUGGACACCUCAAUAACUUUUUAUACAGCGUAUCCGGUUUGACGGCACAUUUUUUGAUGAUGGAUAUUUGAAGGUGGUUGACUUCAUUAGAACAGGGAUACUACCAGAGCUGUUGGGUAAAUGGUUUACUGUGCCAUGCCUCUCAGCCACUGCAACCUCUGAGAAGACACCUGAGGGAUGCUACUGUGGAAAGCCUACUGGUAAUGCAGACAACGUCCUCUCUUGCACAUCUGAGCAAUGUAAGCGAAAACAGUUCCACAAGUCUUGUCUUAAGCUGAUCAGGGUACCAAAGAGUUGGAAAUGUUUAGAGUGCAAGAAGCUGCAAAUAAACAAGA